CCUACGGGAGGCAGCAGUGGGGAAUAUUGCACAAUGGGGGAAACCCUGAUGCAGCGACGCCGCGUGAGCGAUGAAGUAUCUCGGUAUGUAAAGCUCCAUCAGCAGGGAAGAAGAUGACGGUACCUGACUAAGUAGCCCCGUCUAACUACGUGCCGGCAGCCGUAGUAAUACGUCUGGGGCCAGCGUUAUCCGGAUUUACCGGGGGUAAAGGGAGCGUAGUGGGGGAUGCAAGCCAGCUGUGAAAGCCCGGGGCUCAACCCCGGGACUGCAUUUGGAACUGGGUGGCUGGAGUGGCGGAGAGGCAGGCGGAAUUCCUGGUGUAGCGGUGAAAUGCGUAGAUAUUAGGAGGAACACCGGUGGCGAAGGCAGCAUGCUGGAGGAUGACUGACGUUGAGGCUCGAAAGCGUGGGGAGCAAACAGGAUUAGAUACCCGAGUAGUC
rnacentral:rRNA from 1 species